UUCAGAAUUGCAGUGCAAGCUUCCUGUCUUACAUUACCUUGCAAGAAAAAAAUGACUUCCGGAUAGAAAGACAGAUAGAUAGACAGACAGAUAGACAGUUAGACAGACAGAUAGAUAGAUGAUAGAUGAUUUCUAUGUGUACAUAUGUGUGAACAAGUAGACCACAUUCAGUAAAAAUUCACAGGGAAAUCAUGAGAAUUUUCAUUACAGCACAAAGAGGUUUGCAAUAACUUUGAUCUGAUAUAGAAUAUUCAAUGCUUUACAUCUCUCUGGGAAGGAAGUGGAAACACGCUGUGGUUAAGGGUCUCUGCAUUUUGCUGAAACCUUUAGUUGGUUUGACACCAUUGCGAAAGACUGACACAAUGAAGCAAGUAAUUUUCUUCUUCUGUGUAUUUUCUUAUUGGAUUACACAAAUCACAUCCAAUGAUGCGUCAGUACAAGGAUCUUCUGAUCUGUUAAGAGUUCAACUGGAAGAAAACGUCAGUCUGAACUGCAGCAUGACAGAUCAACAUGACAUCGCCUGGUAUCACCUCAGAUCUGACCGAUUCAAUCAACUGAUUGCGGCAGAAAAGGAUGAAACAGGAAGAAAACUUCUGGUCACCUACAAUCAAAACAGCAUUCGUCUGAUAAUUACUGCAGACUGGCGGAUCACCACAGUGACUUUAACUAUUUCUGGAGUAACAGAGUCAGAUUCUGGUCUUUAUUUCUGUGGAACAAAGUCUGGCACUACAGAGAUGUACUUCAACAAACCCAUCAGACUAGAGAUCCAGGGUAACAGAUUCCAUUUUUUUUCAUCAUAUCUUCAAAACCUCUGCAGACUAGCCCUGUACAUGAUUUUUGUUUUGAAAUAUAUAGAUUUAGCAGCAUAUGGUAGGAAAAAUGCAUUUGUGUGUUAAAUAUAUUUAUAUACUUAAGGGUAUUUUUUUAGAUCACAAACAUACCUUGCAUACACAUCAAAAUUUUGGAUGCAGCGAAUUAUUUUUUUUUUUUCUUGAUCUGAAAAACAAAUUAUAAAAUCCUUGAAAUUAUUAUGCAUAAUUUCAGUUGCAUAACACAUUUCUACAGAAGCUCACCUUAACCCAUUUACCCAUAUACAACUAUAAUAACUAAUAAACUGAUCAUAUUUUUACA
ensembl:lncRNA